rnacentral:rRNA from 1 species
GCGUGAAGUUGGAAUUGCUAGUAAAUCGCGGAUCAGCAUGCCGCGGUGAAUACGUUCCCGGGCCUUGUACACACCGCCCGUCACACCAUGGGAGCCGGUAAUGCCCGAAGUCAGUAGCUUAACCGCAAGGAGGGCGCUGCCGAAGGUAGGAUUGGCGACUGGGGUGAAGUCGUAACAAGGUAGC